ACAGAUGGGGGAUCAUCGGCCAGCAGCCGGUGGUGAUGACUGCCAUCAGAAAAUCCAAGAAAAUAGAUAGACAUGAAGGUAAAAAUAGGGGAAAUUAAUUCGAGCCCCUUUUGACAAAAAUCGAUGACUAAUAUCCAUGGGCUGAGAAAGAUGAAGAGAAGGAUAGAGAGAGAUUCUUAUCCUUUUUCCAGUGAUCUAUGGCCUUGAUUCUGGUGGCAUGAGGAAGGUCAUACAAAAAUAUUAAAAGGGAAAAACAAGAGAGAAAAAUAGUGAGGGAGAG
rnacentral:lncRNA from 1 species